GAUGAACGCUGGCGGCGUGCCUAAUACAUGCAAGUCGAGCGAACAGACGAGGAGCUUGCUCCUCUGACGUUAGCGGCGGACGGGUGAGUAACACGUGGAUAACCUACCUAUAAGACUGGGAUAACUUCGGGAAACCGGAGCUAAUACCGGAUAAUAUAUUGAACCGCAUGGUUCAAUAGUGAAAGACGGUUUUGCUGUCACUUAUAGAUGGAUCCGCGCCGCAUUAGCUAGUUGGUAAGGUAACGGCUUACCAAGGCAACGAUGCGUAGCCGACCUGAGAGGGUGAUCGGCCACACUGGAACUGAGACACGGUCCAGACUCCUACGGGAGGCAGCAGUAGGGAAUCUUCCGCAAUGGGCGAAAGCUUGACGGAGCAACGCCGCGUGGGUGAUGAAGGUCUUCGGAUCGUAAAACUCUGUAUUAGGGAAGAACAAAUGUGUAAGUAACUAUGCACGUCUUGACGGUACCUAAUCAGAAAGCCACGGCUAACUACGUG
rnacentral:rRNA from 1 species